GGUUGAUCCUGCCAGCAAUCAUAUGCUUGUCUCAAAGAUUAAGCCAUGCAUGUCUAAGUAUAAGUGAAUAUAUGGCGAAACUGCGAAUGGCUCAUUAUAUCAGUUUUAAUCUACUUGGUUGAGUUUCUUAUCUGGAUAACUGUAGGAAUUCUAGAGCUAAUACAUGCAAAAGGCUUGGAACGGGGGAAACCCUGCGAAGAGCGUGUUUACUAGUAGAGAAAUCAGGCUGGGGCGCAAGUCCCAGUUUCACGAUGAAUCAUAGUAAGGCUUUACACGAAUCGGGGACACACGG
rnacentral:rRNA from 1 species